CAGAGAGUAUCACAUAUGAGCCGCAUUCCAAUUUCAGCAAAAUUAGGAUUUGCAAUUCCAUUAGCCGCAUUCCAAAUUCACUUCCAAUUUCACCAGAUUCCCAUUUGGAUCCAAUUUCCAAUUCCAGUUUCAGGCUCCAAUCACAAUUCCGAUUCCAAUUUCAAGCUCCAAUCACAAUUCCAAUUUCAAAUCCCAAUUCCAAUUUCAAUACCAAAUCAUAUAAGAGACGGUGGUUGGCGAAGAUGUGACACAUUAAAUCAGCAGAUCAGCUUCGUUAAGAAAAAUCUUCAGCUAAGACGAGUUGUAAGUUGCAGGUGAUGACUAGUACCAUCAGGAGAGGCGGAAGCCAUCAUGUCUUGGAGACCUUUAUUAUUAUGCAUUGUGUUGAUGUUAUUUUGAGUAUUUUUAUUUUGGAAAUUCCCGCUCUGAUAGUGACAUCGGGUUGGGACCACAUUUGCAUAUAAUUUAACACAUAAGUAUGUGUACUUCUAAAAAGAUUUGUUGUCGGAUAUUGUGAUUUCAAGUUGUUACGUUUGAUGGAACCUUUGAAUUUAUUCGACGUGUUCGAGAUUAUAUGAUACUUUUUAUCUUAAAAAAAA